AUUGAACGCUGGCGGCAGGCCUAACACAUGCAAGUCGAGCGAGCGGCGGACGGGUGAGUAAUGUAUGGGGACUGCCCGAUAGAGGGGGAUAACUACUGGAAACGGUAGCUACUACCGCCUCCUGUCUGAUAACCACUAUGGGAUUAGCUAGUAGGUAAGGUAAUGGCUUACCUAGGCGACGAUCCCUAGCUGGUCUGAGAGGAUGAUCCGCCACACGGGGACGGAGACACGGCCCAGACUCCUACGGAGGCAGCAGUGGGGAAUAUUGCACAAUGGGCGAAAGCUGGAUGCAGCCAUGCCGCGUGUAUGAAGAAGGCCCUAGGGUUGUAAAGUACUUUCAGUCGGGAGGCGUUACCGACAGAAGAAGCACCGGCUAACUCCGUGCCAGCAGCCGCGGUAAUAC
rnacentral:rRNA from 1 species